rnacentral:tRNA from 1 species
GCCUUCGUUGUGUAGUGGUCAGCACGCUCGACGCGUAUCCGAGAUGUCCGUGGUUUGAUUCCCGGUGAAGGCA